AAGUAGUGAAGUAAAAUGUUACAUUUAGUUUCGACCUAAAAAUAGAGCUAUCUCCUUACUUU
rnacentral:tRNA from 1 species